CUAAGUCUAACAGGGACUCCCACAAAUGUUACAUAUGUGUGAAUGUCUGCUACCCCCUUAACCUAUCCGCUGCAAUUGGCACGGAUUUGGCUUUCACUGGUAGCCUGGUAACGUAUAGUCACAGGCCUUUCUCUGAACUGUGGUGGAUAGUGGAGUGUUUCCCAUGUGGUAUUGGUGUGCUGGAUAUCCCUUCACUGAUAGCCUGGUAACAUACACUCCCAGGUCUUUCUCUGCCUCUGUGGUGGAUAGUGGAGUGUUUCCCAUGUGGUAUUGGUGUGCUGGAUAUCCCUUCACUGGUAGCCUGGUAACAUACACUCCCAGGUCUUUCUCUGCCUCUGUGGUGGAUAGUGGAGUGUUUCCCAUGUGGUAUUGGUGUGCUGGAUAUCCCUUCACUGGUAGCCUGGUAACAUACACUCCCAGGUCUUUCUCUGCCUCUGUGGUGGAUAGUAGAGUGUUUCCCAUGUGGUAUUGGUGUGCUGGAUAUCCCUUCACUGGUAGCCUGGUAACAUACACUCCCAGGUCUUUCUCUGCCUCUGUGGUGGAUAGUAGAGUGUUUCCCAUGUGGUAUUGGUGUGCUGGAUAUCCCUUCACUGGUAGCCUGGUAACAUAAAUAUACUCCCAGGCCUUUCUCUGCCUCUGUGUUGGAUAGUGGAGUGUUUCCCAUGUGGUAUUGGUGUGCUGGAUAUCCCUUCACUGGUAGCCUGGUAACAUACACUCCCAGGUCUUUCUCUGCCUCUGUGAUGGAUAGUGGAGUGUUUCCCAUGUGGUAUUGGUGUGCUGGAUAUCCCUUCACUGGUAGCCUGGUAACAUACACUCCCAGGUCUUUCUCUGCCUCUGUGGUGGAUAGUGGAGUGUUUCCCAUGUGGUAUUGGUGUGCUGGAUAUCCCUUCACUGGUAGCCUGGUAACAUACA